UACGUAGGGGGCUAGCGUUGUCCGGAAUCAUUGGGCGUAAAGAGCGUGUAGGCGGCCCGGUAAGUCCGCUGUGAAAGUCGGGGGCUCAACCCUCGAAUGCCGGUGGAUACUGUCUGGCUAGAGUCCGGAAGAGGAGAAUGGAAUUCCUGGUGUAGCGGUGAAAUGCGCAGAUAUCAGGAAGAACACCCGUGGCGAAGGCGGUUCUCUGGGACGGUACUGACGCUGAGACGCGAAAGCGUGGGGAGCGAACAGG
rnacentral:rRNA from 1 species